rnacentral:ncRNA from 2 species
AUUAUCCUUCGGGGUCGGGUGAAAGUCCCAACCGGCGGUGAUUCGUUUAUAAACGUAAGCCCGCGACCCGGUUGCCUUUUUGGCAAACGGUUGAUUCAGUGAGAAGCUGAAGCCGACAGUACAGUCUGGAUGGGAGAAGGAUGAA